UACGGGGGGGGCAAGCGUUGUUCGGAAUUACUGGGCGUAAAGGGCGCGUAGGCGGUUCGAUAAGUCAGCUGUGAAAACCAUGGGCUUAACUCAUGGCCUGCAGUUGAGACUGUCGGGCUGGAGUGUGGGAGAGGAGAGUGGAAUUCCUGGUGUAGCGGUGAAAUGCGUAGAUAUCAGGAGGAACACCGGUGGCGAAGGCGGCUCUCUGGACCACAACUGACGCUGAGGCGCGAAAGCUAGGGGAGCAAACAGG
rnacentral:rRNA from 1 species